rnacentral:rRNA from 1 species
UACAGAGGGGGCUAGCGUUAUUCGGAAUUAUUGGGCGUAAAGGGCGCGUAGGCGGCCAUGCGUGUCUUCCGUGAAAUCCCUCGGCUUAACUGAGGACGUGCGGAAGAAACUGCAAGGCUCGAGUCCGGGAGAGGGGGGUGGAAUUCCCAGUGUAGCGGUGAAAUGCGCAGAUAUCAGGAGGAACACCGGUGGCGAAGGCGGGUCUCUGGGCCGAUACUGACGCUGAGGAGCGAAAGCGUGGGGAGCGAACAGG